GGUAGCGUGGCCGAGCGGUCCAAGGCGCUGGAUUAAGGCUCUUCGGAGGCGAGGGUUCGAAUCCCUCCGCUGCCA